UACGUAGGGGGCUAGCGUUGUCCGGAUUUAUUGGGCGUAAAGAGCGUGUAGGCGGCCAGGUAGGUCUGCUGUGAAAACUCGAGGCUCAACCUCGAGACGUCGGCGGAAACCAUCUGGCUAGAGUCCGGAAGAGGAGAGUGGAAUUCCUGGUGUAGCGGUGAAAUGCGCAGAUAUCAGGAAGAACACCCGUGGCGAAGGCGGCUCCCUGGGACGGUACUGACGCUGAGACGCGAAAGCGUGGGGAGCGAACAGG
rnacentral:rRNA from 1 species